GAUGAGGCAAGCAAGCGGGUAUGAACACGGAUGCACAAGAUAUGUAGGUGCGUAUGAUCAGACGUAUGAAUAUAUGAAUGCACGAAGUAGGAUUUAUCGUCUAUGAAAAGAAUGGGACAGGUAUGCAUGUAUACAUGGUUUCAAUACGUUUGAGUAUGGACAUUACUAAUGAUGUGCUUGAGAUUGAAAUGUAAUGCAGGAAUGAGAACGUCAGACUCUUGUAGAAUUGAAGCCGAACCUUGAAGCCUAACUCGGAACAAAGGAAUCCGAGAGGAUAGUCGAAUGAAUCAAAGUUUAUGUUG
rnacentral:lncRNA from 1 species